rnacentral:rRNA from 1 species
AUUGAACGCUGGCGGCACGCCUAACACAUGCAAGUAGAACGAGUGGCGGACGGGUGAGUAAUGUCUGGGAAACUGCCUGACGGAGGGGGAUAACUACUGGAAACGGUAGCUAAUACCGCAUACCAUCGGAUGUGCCCAGGUGGGAUUAGCUAGUAGGUGGGGUAAAGGCUCACCUAGGCGACGAGCCCUAGCUGGUCUGAGAGGAUGACGAGCCACACUGAAACUUAGACACGGGGCAGACGCCUGCGGGAGGCAGCAGUGGGGAAGAUUGCACAAUGGGCGCAAGCCUGAUGCAGCCAUGCCGCGUGUAUGAAGAAGGCCUUAGGGUUGUAAAGUACUUUCAGCGGGGCGGCGUUACCCGCAGAAGGAGCACCGGCUAACUCCGUGCCAGCAGCCGCGGUAAUAC